CUUGUGUAAUAAAUGAACUGUGUUAUUCCAACAUGUCACAUUUGCUGCUUGAUUGCAAAAAUCAUCAGAUUUGAAUUCUGGUCAUUGAAUUUAAGAGAAGAUUGGUUAAAAGACGCUCCUUUUGUGUAUUUUACAGAUGUUGAUGUUGUGUCUCUUUGUGUUGGACAGACAAAAGAGGGGCCGGUUGUUGUCAUGUGCUUUAUAUGCUGUUAGACAAACGCAAAGCUCACAUGUUUGAUUCCCGUGACGCUCCGGUCCCAACCAGCCCGGACCAGGACACAAACUUCAUCCGGCAUCCUGCACCAGAAAAAAGUCCCGGACCUUCCUCAGGUACGCUCUCACUCAAAAAGACCCUCCAAAGUCAGGAGGUUUAUGAUGCCUCCUCCUCCUCCUCCGUCUCGUCCUCCCCAUCCAUGUCCAUUCUCUUAAAGGGGGUGUCGCUGGACCCCCCGCCGAUGUCCAGCACCUGCAGGCUGGACAGGUGGGCGAAGGAGCUCUCGUCCACGGUGUCCACUGACAGUCGGUUGAACCUUGGACACGACCACAAGUUCAGAGUGGCCGCAUGGAGAAGCUUGUGGAAGCGCGACCACAGCAGCAGCGGCAGCAGAGACGACUUCCUGCACAGGAGCGUCGUGCCCAGCAUGCACUAUCAGAAGAGUUUGCCCAGGUUAGGUAUUCCCAAGCUGGAGGACACCAUCAGGAGGUAUUUGGCCGCUCAGAAGCCUCUUUUAGACGACGACCACUUCCAAACCACAGAGAAGCUGGCUCAGGACUUCCUGACUGGGGAGGGCAAGAGCCUGCAAGAAGAUCUGCUGGCUCAGGAUAAAAGCAACAAUCACACCAGCUACAUCUCCGGUCCGUGGUUCGACAUGUACCUGUCGGCACGCCAGCCGGUGGUGCUGAACUUUAACCCCUUCAUGUCCUUCAACCCCGACCCCAGGAGCGAGUACAACGAGCAGCUGGUGCGUGCCAGCAACAUGGUGUGCUCGGCCGUGCGCUUCAUGAAGACGCUGCGGGCCGGGCUGCUGGCGCCGGAGGUGUUCCACCUCAACCCGGCCAAGAGCGACACGGACGCCUUCAAGAGGUUGAUCCGUUGGGUGCCGCCCUCCCUGUCCUGGUACGGCGCCUACAUGCUCAACGCUUACCCGCUGGACAUGUCGCAGUACUUCUGCCUCUUCAACUCCAGUCGCAUUCCCAAGCCGGGGCGGGACGAGCUCUUCACGGACGAGGAAGGGCGCCACCUGCUGGUGAUGAGGCGAGGCCACAUGUACGUGUUUGACAUCGUGGACCGCAGCGGCAAUUUGGUGGAGCCCGCCCAGAUCCAGUCCCAGUUGAAGUACGUCUUGUCCGACCAGACGCCGGCGCCGGCCUUCCCUGUCGGGGUGCUGACCAGCGAGAACAGAGACGUGUGGGCGGGGCUUCGAGACAAGCUGGUAGCCGCCGGGAACAGCGAGGAUCUACGCGUUGUCGACAGCGCCGUCUUCUGUCUGUGCCUGGACGACGUGAGCCUCAGCGACCCCGUGCACGUGUCGCACAACAUGCUGCACGGCGACGGCUGCAACCGCUGGUACGACAAGUCCUUCAGCGUCAUCCUCUCCCGGGACGGGAACGCCGCCAUCAACUUUGAGCACUCGUGGGGCGACGGCGUGGCCGUGCUGCGCUUCCAGAACGAGAUUUUCAAAGACACCACAGAGAGGCCCCUGGUGCACCCGGGUCCCGCCCCCGCCCCCGCCGCCGUGCGCCGCCUUGACUUCAAGCUGGACGGCGAGCUGGAGGAGGCCAUCAAGAAGGCCAAAGCCAACUUCGACUCGGCCGUGUCGGAGCUCAGCAUCGACGCCAUGCAGUUCAAGCGCGGCGGCAAGGAGCAGCUGAAGAAGAGCAAGCUGAGCCCGGACGCCAUCGCCCAGCUGGCCUUCCAGAUGGGCUUCCUGAGGCAGUACGGCCAGACGGUCGCCACCUACGAGUCCUGCAGCACGGCGGCGUUCAAACACGGGCGCACGGAGACCAUCCGUCCCGCCACCGCCUUUACCAAACGAUGCUCGCACGCCUUCGUCCGCGAGGCGGGAAAGCACAGCGUGGCGGAGCUGCAGGCCAUGCUUCAACAAUGCUCCAAGUACCACGGGCAGCUCACCAAGGAGGCCGCCAUGGGUCAGGGUUUCGACCGCCACCUGUUCGCCCUGCGCUACCUGGCCGGCUCCAAAGGUCGGCCCCUGCACAGCCUGUACACCGACCCCGCCUACGCCGCCAUCAACCACAACAUCCUGUCCACCAGCACCCUCACCAGUCCCGCCGUCAACCUCGGCGGCUUCGCCCCGGUCGUGCCCGACGGCUUCGGCGUGGGCUACGGCGUCCACGACGACUGGAUAGGCUGCAACGUCAGCAGCUACCCGGCUCGGGACGUGCGGCGCUUCCUAGAGUGCGUGCACAAAUCUCUGGAGGACAUUUUCUGCGUCGUGGAAGGAAAGUCGCUCAGCUGAGGUCUGCUCCAAAACAACUUUUUUUGGGGGGUCACAAUGCAGUUUUGGACUGGUGUGAAUGAGUGAAAAAUAAUGUGAAAGUCACUCUGCUUGAUGUUGACGUGUCUGUGAGGUCAUGGUCACAUGACAUCGACGUGUCUGAGGUCAUGGUCACAUGACAUCGACGUGUCUGUGAGGUCAUGGUCACAUGACAUCGACAUGUCUGAGGUCAUGGUCACAUGACAUCGACAUGUCUGUGAGGUCAUGGUCACAUGACAUCGACGUGUCUGUGAGGUCAUGGUCACAUGACAUCGACGUGUCUGUGAGGUCAUGGUCACAUGACAUCGACAUGUCUGAGGUCAUGGUCACAUGACAUCGACGUGUCUGUGAGGUCAUGGUCACAUGACAUCGACAUGUCUGUGAGGUCAUGGUCACAUGACAUCGACAUGUCUGUGAGGUCAUGGUCACAUGACGUCUCAUCACUGGAUGCUUUUCUCAUUUUGCAGCCUGAAUCAUGUCUUUGAAUGUUCAAAUAUUUACAAAAGGUUUUUAUGAGUACAUGUGUGGUGAAAUGUAAAUCAAAUAGCUAUCUGUUGAAUAAAAUCAUGAUCACAUGACACACAA